rnacentral:lncRNA from 7 species
AGUCUGAGUUGGUGCAGGUCCCCCUUCUGCCCCCGCCCUUCUCUUCAGCAGUGGUGGGAUGGUACGAAUGGGAGGAGGCCACAUUGCUCAGCUUGUCCCUUUCUCCACAAUGUUACCGGGAGGGAGAGGCGCUCCAGCUCUCCAGUGAUCCUCAUGGUCCUCCUCUGAACUCACUGAACUAAGUCCAUGUCCUUCUUAUGCUGGGGGCCCAAGAGCUGAAAGCAGUACUCCAGAUAGAGUCUCACAAGAGGACAGCAGAAGACAACAAUAACCUUCCCAACCUACUGGUCAUGCUUCAGUUGAGGCAGGCUAGAAAACAGUUGGCUUUCUGGACUGACCUUGAACUUUGCCUUGCUGAACUUCAUGAGGUGCACAUGGGCUUGCCUCUCCAGUCAGAUCCCUCUGGAUGACAUCCCUCCACUCCAAUGUCAACAGCAAGUUUGUGACAUUUACAGACAUUUAAAGAUAUUUACAGGCAGAGAAUGGAAUGUGUUGCUACAUCUGAUAAAGACACUGUCAAGCUGAAGCCUGAUAAUUUCUUUGUACCCAUAUAGCCACACCACUGGAGAAAUCCCUUCCUACUUCAUCUUUUCAGUUUUCAGACUAAGUGGCUGAAAGCAUGUAAUCUGGAAGCCACCUGGUGCGUUGACAUGACGUUCCUCUAAAACAUGAGGCAAUUUGGAAAACACCAUUGAAUUGUAAAAUAUGAUCUUUAUCACGGGCAACUAUGAUGUGGACAUUCAAAGCUCUAAUGUAGCAUAUUACUUUAGUUUGUUCUUGUGAGUAUUGCUUUUGAUGUGGGUAUGAUCAUUCAGUUUCUUAAAGGAUAAUUCUUCCUCAGUUUAUUCCUAUUCUUCUGAGGUAGCUUGCAGAGAGUUAUCCAUUUUAUUAGGCCAAUGUUUUGUUUUCUUGAAUUUUCUUUUUCAUUGUUUUCCUUUCAGAUUAUGAUUAGGAUUGUAUUUCUUGCUCCUCUUUCCUUCCUUUCCUUAAAUAAAAACAUUUAGUUUUUGCUCUAAGACUUCUAUUUUGUACAUUAGUAAUAUUAAUUGCAUUACGUUUUUUUUUUCUUUACUCCUAAAACUAGAGUAAAUUUAUUCACUACAUGAGACUAAAUAUCUAAUUUUCUGAAAACACAAUAUACUUAUCAGUGACAUAUUUGUAUAUAGUUUUUGUCUUUAAAAUAUAAAAUCAGUCAAUUCUGUACCAUUUUCCAUGUACUUUGCAAGGUUUUUCUGUUGAUUUCUUCGACUGACAAUAUGUUUCCUUCAUAUGCUGAAUACUGAGAAUCAAGCGUUCAAGGUCAACAUGCUAUUUUUGUCAAGUUGGUAGGGAAAUUGCCUUGAUUUAAAUCCAAACAGGCAAUUAAGUAUGAUAAACUGGAAUCCCUAUAAUGCUGGUAACCAUUACACUCAGAUAUGUUGCACACUCUGAAGUGUAAAACACCUGAUAAUAAUAUUAAUACUACUAGCAACUGUAAAAAAUGCAAUUUAACACAAACAUGUAAGAGUGAGGUGGUUUAAAAACUUGUCAUCAUUUGAAAAUCUCUACUUAAUCUUGUAAAGUUAAUAGGUAGUACUGGAGACUCCUGGAAACUGUAGUCUGUCCCUUCUCGGUUUAUCUUCCACUUCUCAUGUGGAAAUAGCUGAGACUGCCAGAAUCACAGGACCUAGGAAGUGCAGCUCCACAGUGCUCUGUGCUCCAGUACGUGACAACCUGCCACAUGAUAUCAUGAUGUGGAACACUGAUAAAACCAGGGCAUGUAUACAUAGGUUGCAUCUUGAAAUUUAAAUCCUUGUGCACACUACAGAAGUCCUGUAAAAAAGACGGAAUCAACAGCAGUAUUUUAAGUGAAAAUGUAGGUUUUAAGGCAUUGCAAAAAGAAAGACUAUUUUUGUGACCAUGUAGGGCUCAGAUUUGGGAAAUUUGUCUUCAAUUCUUGAUUUAUUUUACAUUUUCAAAUCACUUUAUUUUGCUCUGCUUAAAUAGAAUAAACUGGGACUCUUGGCCAGCUCCUGUAAGUGUCCACACUGCUGGCAUUGCUAUGACCACACAUAUUUUUGUCUUUUUCAAAUUGUAUUUUCCUGAUAAUAUCUUCUUUCAGGUUGGUUUGGAUUAAAAUCUACAUGUGGAACAGAAAAUCAUCAUGCACUGUAACUGCACUAUCAGUAUGCUGCCACCUUUUAUGCACAGUGAAUUUCAUAUAAAAGAAUCUACCUGCUACAUUCAUUUCUAGGCCAUAUCUGGAGCUAACUGAAUAUCCAUCACCUGGUAGCUAUGUAAGUUUUCACAGGCAUUGCAAUUUGAAACCAACUGAUGUCUCUUUUUGAUUAAAAAGGUACUUCAAGACAUGUAGUCAUUGAAAUUCAUGCAGAUAAUAUGACCUAAGUGAAUACUGUUAAACGUAGUCUAGUCCAGGGACUUCUGGGAAUGUAAUUUAAUUAUUCUGAUUACCUACUUAAGUGAACAUCUUCAAUAGCUGAAUAAUGAAUAUUACUUGUCCACAAAAUUAUCCAAAAUUAAACAUUAACUUUGAUAUUUGUAUGCAUAAAGUUUGAAAAAGAAGCAAGAGUUACAUUUGGAAGGCUGGGAAUUCCUUGCAACCAAGAGUUUUUAAUUUUUGUCUGAUUUUAUUCUCCUAUGUUGCAUAACUGACCGAUACUUCAGAAUGUGUUAACUAGCAAGUUCAGUAGUAUGGAAGCAAAUAUUAAAAAUGAAGAUGUUU